rnacentral:snRNA from 1 species
UUGUCCUCAAGGUUCAAGAUA